CAUGACUGGGGUGAAGUCGUAACAAGGUAGCCGUAUCGGAAGGUGCGGCUGGAUCACCUCCUUUCCAG
rnacentral:rRNA from 1 species